UACGAAGGGGGCUAGCGUUGUUCGGAAUCACUGGGCGUAAAGGGCGCGUAGGCGGCUUUAUAAGUCGGGGGUGAAAGCCUGUGGCUCAACCACAGAAUUGCCUUCGAUACUGUAGAGCUUGAGACCGGAAGAGGUAAGUGGAACUGCGAGUGUAGAGGUGAAAUUCGUAGAUAUUCGCAAGAACACCAGUGGCGAAGGCGGCUCACUGGCCCGGUACGUGACGCGUGAGGUGCGAAAGCGAUGGGGAGCAAACAGGGAUU
rnacentral:rRNA from 1 species